rnacentral:rRNA from 1 species
AUACGUAGGGUGCAAGCGUUAAUCGGAAUUACUGGGCGUAAAGCGUGCGCAGGCGGUUCGGAAAGAAGGAUGUGAAAUCCCGGGGCUUAACCUCGGAACUGCAUUCUUAACUGCCGGGCUAGAGUAUGUCAGAGGGGGGUAGAAUUCCACGUGUAGCAGUGAAAUGCGUAGAGAUGUGGAGGAAUACCGAUGGCGAAGGCAGCCCCCUGGGAUAAUACUGACGCUCAUGCACGAAAGCGUGGGGAGCAAACAGGAUUAGAUACCCUGGUAGUCCACGCCCUAAACGAUGUCAACUAGCUGUUGGGGCCUUCGGGCCUUAGUAGCGCAGCUAACGCGUGAAGUGGACCGCCUGGGGAGUACGGUCGCAAGAUUAAA